rnacentral:lncRNA from 1 species
UUUGUUAGAUGUUAUUUUUUUGGAAUUUUUUUCACAUUAUGCUUUCAAUAAUGCAAAUUAAAAGGUAACCGAGAAAAGGAGAGAAGAGAGAGGAAUUGAGGUAAGUAAAGAAGAGAAAUUCUCAUCACAAAUUAUGCAAGUCACAAAGUCUCUCUAUUGUGGCUUAGUUAACCUUUGCCUCAAGUAACGCCUUGAAUUUCCUAAUCGUAAUUAGCUUUAGGACCCCUUGAGGUACAGUUGUUUCCAACAGCUUUUUAAUUAAACACAUACCAAAAUAAGCUGUUUUUAAUAAUGUAAAUUUUACUAUGUCAUUUGUUAAUUUAGUUGGAAAGCUGCAAUUGUAUUAUGUGAUGUGAGGACCUUGUUUAAUUUGUAGUAUACUUAUCUGACAUUAUAAAUGUUACUAGCCAAAAAAUUAUUACAUUAUUAAUAUGUUUUGAUGCUUAGGUAUAAAAAUUUGAGCCAAAGGCCCAGAAAAAAAAAUAGAAGCCAGAGAGAGAAAGGAACUAAUAAUUAAUAAACCUUGUUACUCUAUAGAAUAUCAUAGAUUAUGCCAUAAAAUAAAACAGUACUACCUAUUAUAGUAAUAUAAAUUUCAGCACAAAUACAAACAUGAUAGAAGCUUACAUAGAUUAAUUUUUAUAUAAAUACCCCCAUUUCUUAUUCUACAAAUGCAGCACAACUCAGGUGCUGCUAGCCAAUAUCUAUAACUCUUCAUUUCUCACCUCAUGUGUUCUUCUGGGUGCUAAAUCAACUAUGCUGCAGGUGCUAUAUCAAUAUCACCAUCAUCGUCGUCUCCUUCACUCUUCCUCUGAGUGCAACAGUUGUUGAAUUGAGUUGCAGCCAAGUCACUUCCCAUGUUUCUCAUGAGAAGAUUUGAUUCCAUGGAACUUAGGACCACCAUUGUAGCACAAAUAUGUUCUAAAGAAUAAAGAGUGUUAAAUUUGGCUGUAAUGUGAAGUAAGUAUGUUGACUCAAGAUGAAGUCAUGAGUCUUCAAAACCACCUUAUUUAUAGACUAAAACGUUUACUCAAAUUUACUGCAGUAAAAAAAAUGGACUUGUAUUCUGUGCAGUUGAGGAGUUUAUGUAAUUGAACAGUUGUUUAAUUUCAACUGUCUGAUGAAGAUAUGAUUGUACAAAUUUAAACUCCAACAAAUUGGCUUUAAAAUGUAGUUGAAACAUCAUUUAUUCAAUGUGAAGUUUAUUCGAAGACAAACCAACGUAGUUGUUCGUAUUUUAAAUAGGACAGCUCUAUCUAUGUUUAAUCUCCAAAAAAAAUUAUAAUGUCACAUAUUGUAUUUUCUUAUAUUAUUUAUGUAUAGUUGAGACAUUCAAUCAUUUUUUUUUUUUAAUAAUCUAGUGACGAAAAUUCCACAAAUUAUUUAUGCAGAAUUGCAAAUUAUCUAAACAUAUUAAAUGUCAUUGCAACUAUCAUUCUAAUAUAAAUGUUCAAUUUUAUUUUAUUGUUGUAAUCAAAUUUGUAUAAGCAGUACUACUAUUGUAGUAAAUGUAUAAUUAUUAUUCUAAUACCUUAUAUGGGGCAGGUUUAACAUAUUUAAGAUUGUCAGAAAGGUAUAUUUGCUUUAUUUGCUUUCUCUACCACAAUUAAGGCACUUUAAUUUUAGUUUUGUUUUCUUGUUAGAGCUAAAACAUUUUUAAGUGUGCAAAGGAGGAAAUGGCUGAGCUGGUGAGGUUUCUACCAUACAAUUUGACAUGAUGGACAGAGAUGGUCCAUAACUUGAGCAAAGCUCAUGGCUUCUUGCUGCACACCACAUUCAACAUGUGGUGUUAUGAGUUUGCACACACGCUUGAGCUUUAUAGUCACAUGCACAUUUUAUAUGACAUGGAUAAUGAUAUAUAGCAAAUAUGCACUCAAAAAGUGAAAUUAACGUAAAUGCCAAAGGGUUUUGUUUUGGCCAAAUGUGGCCUCUUGUAUAGAGGAAAAGAGUUACAACUGUGUAAUGCAUGUGCUUGUUUCAUUUCCUUAAUGACUUUUCAAAUUUCAAAUAGCUAUAUGAAAUUCCAUAUCAUAUAGUUCAAGUUUCACCUUUAAAAAAACUUAAGUUUCUAGUUUUGUGGACUCUAAUGACCUCUCCUACAGAGAUUAAUCUUAUCUUAUCUUACUUAAUAUAAAUCUAAGGUAGUCUGAUAGCUAGGAGGAAAUCCCUAACCCUAAUGACAACCCUAAUACCUUAUUUCCCUCCAAAAUCAUGACAUAAAUGCAGUUUAAUUACUCUGACCCACCAACUAAUUUCACACGUUUUUUUGAGUUUUGAACCACUCAAUACACGCUUCUCAAUGCAUAGAAGAAAGUUAUUUGGAGACUUUCUAGGAUUCAGCUUGCCACUCACACUCAAGAUCAUCUAAAACGUCUAUUUUUUUCUUCCUGGUCGGUCCAUUUCUUCUUUCUUGACAGAUCUCCUCCAUUCCUCUUCUUAUUUUCUAAAAGGAUAUUUUUGCAUCUUUUCAACCGUCCACUCUGAUUUUUCUCCAUUACUCAAACCCCGUACUCACAUCAGACGAAGACGGAGAAGAUCUUUACAGUGGUGACUUUUCAUAAUCAACUCAAAUAAAAAAUUUAUUCGUCGACAAUUAUUAAAUUUGUUAUUUCUCAAUUUCAUAUUCGAUCUGUUCUUUCUAAUUUCAAUUUCGAUUAAAGAUUUCAUUGACGAUUUUGACUGAUGAUUCCUUUGACGAUUUUGAUUUUUGUUUCGUUUAUACUUUAGGGUUUGGAUAGCAUCUCGCACGAUGUUGACAAUGGAUGGAAGAUCAAUGCUGGUAGUUAUAAUUGUGAGCUUUUUAUUCAUUUUUGUAGAAUUAUAUAAUUAUUAUUAUUAUUGUUAUUCCAUUAUGUGUUGAUUCAUCUUCUUUUUGCUUUCUCUCUUAUUUGGUAUCUCGAAAUUAUCCUCUGCAUAAAGAUUGAAUGAUCUACGACAACGAUGAUAUGAGCGUGUUCGAUGUCGGCGUAGAAACAAAAAUUGGGGGUUCAACUGCGGUGUAGAUGCAUAAAUUAGAUAUUGAUGAGAAAAGCUAUUUCCAAAUGUUGUUGGGGUUAUGUAGAUGAUAACAAAUUAUUCAAAUUUAACAAUAGUAUUGUAUUGACUUAUUUGCGUAACAACUAACAAUUGAGUUUUGCGUUGUAAUUUGAUUUGUAAAUCACAUGAUUUUAAUGACAAUGUUUUUCCUUAACCGGCUGCA